ACGCGCCAGGGGCUCUGUGUGUGUAUGCGUACGCGCGUGCACGAGGUGAGGUCGCCGAGCGAAUCUGGACUUUAAUUACUCAUCGUAUAUUGCCAAAUCGUUUUUGCUCUUGAGAAGCUGGCAGUGAGCCAUCUCCUUGAACUGCUGCAGUCCUCCUGGUGAAGAUGCUUCUGCAGUGCUAUUUGGUCAGGAGUUCCAGCAAUUUAGAUCCAGCAACGAUGGAGGAAUGGUGUGAAAACGGAUGAAGGCCAAUGUGCCAAAAGCCUUUUUGCCCCUUUCUACCUGUGACUCCAUCUUUAAGGAACCAUGCACCUGCACUCCUAGAUCCUAAGAUCCAACAAAAUACAUUGUUGUUCAAAUGUCUAAUCAGUGCACAUUUACUGGCAAGGAUGAUGAGGCAAUAUUGCCAUCACUGUUGGAAAAUCUUAUGGAAAUCCUGACUUAUUUCCUGACUGAAGAAUUUGGCAAGUGGCAUUGCUUUCAAAACCUCAGCCUGUUUUUCCACUGUGAUUGGUUGCAAAAUCAAACAAUGACAUCGCCUGCAUUGGUAAAAGAAGAAAAAAUACUUUAAAAUAUAGAUCAUUUAGUCAGAUCUACUGAAGACAAGAGUAACUGCUGAUAUUUACCUGCCUUUCUGGCCUAGAGUGCUGGCCUUCCAAUUAUCCAUCUGCCUAUAUUCUUUGAGUCUGAAGAAGGGUCCCGACCCAAAAUGUCGCCUAUCCAUGUUCUUCAGAGUUUUCUGGACUGUUACAUGGCUGGAGAACAUUGGACGGAACCACAUCUCUGGCUUAGUCUGGGACUCAGGUCAGAUUGGAGCAAUAAUUAAAGAGAGAUAGAAGCUGGGCCUGUUUUUUCCAAUAUGAAAUAAAAAUAGAAAAUACUGGAAAUACUUAGCACCCUGGGAAAGGGGUGGGGUUGGUAUGCGGCAAGGCCGAGUUAAUGUUUAAAUUAUCCUGCAAAUAACUGACAUGCAAAACAUUUUGUGAUGUUCCUUAGCCUUUUUGUUAGUGAGAAAUUAUCACAUAUCCAACCCAGAAUCAAAACCAAGCAGCCCAGGCGUGAAACAGCACUAAAGGUUUAACGUCAGUCUCAUGUGAAGUGAAGGAAGCGUGAACAGUGCUCCUGUCUUCAUCAGGCUUAAUAAUAUCUACACUAUGCAGAAUUCAGCUGGCAAGCUGACUGCUGAACUCCAUCAGGAUUUUGGCAGGACAACAAGUGUGUGAUGUGUCUGUAGCAAAGAAUAGACAGCAAGUGGUGGUUUGAAUGAUUUUCAAACAUUGCACCUUGCAGACAACAUCAAUUUGCAAUCACCCUACAUUCCAACUGUAAGACAGAUAUUUCAAUUGUCCAUCAGGGAUAAUGUUAAAUGAUUUGACCUAAUUGAUAGGAUCUGCCACUGUGCAUGGAUGGAAAACCACUACACCCACCGACAUCCCAAGAAUUUAAGAACCUUCAAUUCCAUUAAUAGCUUACCCUUUCUUCCAAAGAACACACCCCACCUGUUAUCUGUGUGAGCUGAGUUUAUUUAGUAUCUAUUGUAUUACACUCUUUCAGAAGUUCACCAACACUGCUGAGUGUAUUUUAUUUCAAUUUUUCCAGCAUUUGUGGGUUUUCUUUGGAACAUGUCAAAAUACCUCUAUUUGAAAAGUUUUGUAUGAGGAAUUUGCUUUGCAUUACAAAUUUUAGUGGAGAAAGAAAGUCAGAAUUUGUAAAUAUGUUCUAUUAAAAAUAUUUACUUUUGUUCUAA